AUACUUAACUUGGUACAGGAGAUACCAUGAUCAUGAAAGUGCUUUUCUCAGGAGAGACUUAUCAUUGCAUUCCAAACAUACUCAUCCCUUGGAUUUCUCCAAAUAUGAAAAAUUCCAUUGCAUAAUUUCUGAUGGUGGGAGACUGCAUUCAUGCUUCCCCUGA
ensembl:snRNA U1 U1 spliceosomal RNA